UACAGAGGGUGCAAGCGUUGUUCGGAAUUAUUGGGCGUAAAGCGCGUGUAGGCGGCUUUGCAAGUCGGGUGUGAAAGCCCUCAGCUCAACUGAGGAAGUGCGCCCGAAACUGCAGAGCUUGAGUGCCGGAGAGGGUGGCGGAAUUCCCCAAGUACAGGUGAAAUUCGUAGAUAUGGGGAGGAACACCGGUGGCGAAGGCGGCCACCUGGACGGUAACUGACGCUGAGACGCGAAAGCGUGGGGAGCAAACAGG
rnacentral:rRNA from 1 species